AUUGAACGCUGGCGGCAGGCUUAACACAUGCAAGUCGAGCGGGGUGAUGGUGCUUGCACUAUCACUUAGCGGCGGACGGGUGAGUAAUGCUUAGGAAUCUGCCUAUUAGUGGGGGACAACAUCUCGAAAGGGAUGCUAAUACCACAUACGUCCUACGGGAGAAAGCAGGGGAUCACUUGUGACCUUGCGCUAAUAGAUGAGCCUAAGUCGGAUUAGCUAGUUGGUGGGGUAAAGGCCUACCAAGGCGGCGAUCUGUAGCGGGUCUGAGAGGAUGAUCCGCCACACUGGGACUGAGACACGGCCCAGACUCCUACGGGAGGCAGCAGUGGGGAAUAUUGGACAAUGGGGGGAACCCUGAUCCAGCCAUGCCGCGUGUGUGAAGAAGGCCUUAUGGUUGUAAAGCACUUUAAGCGAGGAGGAGGCUCUUUUGGUUAAUACCCAAGAUGAGUGGACGUUACUCGCAGAAUAAGCACCGGCUAACUCUGUGCCAGCAGCCGCGGUAA
rnacentral:rRNA from 1 species